rnacentral:rRNA from 1 species
AUGCAGUUUGCAAUCAGUGAGCACACAAACGAGGAGGAGCGCGCCGCCGACGAGAUCAUCAAGAAUCAGUUGGAAGCCCAUUUUGAGAAGGUGCAGAGGAUCUCGGAUACAACCACGCUGCCAUUUGCUAUGCACUACCUACGUUCGUGGAUAAUGGAGGAGCUGGAUAUUUCGCACCUGACCGAGAGGCUGCUGCAAGGGAAGGGAGAGAUGACGCCAGAGGACAAGUACGAGACCUGGGAGAAGAUCAAAAUUCUGAGUUUCACAAGGACAGUGUCUUCAAUGUGGGCCAUGACAUUGCUGAGCUUAUAUGUUAGAGUCCAGGUCACCAUAUUAGGCAGACACCUCUACUUGGACUUUGCUCGUGGUACAGAUGGUGCUCAAUUGCAGCAGGAAACUGACCUUAUUCAAAAUUUGUGUUCCAGUUUAUUAGUAGAAACAGUGGUAUUAAUCUCUAUUGCAAAACAAGAACAGACACAUUUGAUUGUUAUAGUGGAGUUGUGGUAUUUGCUUACUGUACAGGAUAGUAAUUUUCCACGUUUGUCAUCGAGAACACAUCUAUUGUCUAGCACCGAAUGGUAUACUAAUGGCGCAUCACAUGGUGCGCCAUUAGUAUCUGGUAUACUAAUGGCGCACCUGUGGUGCGCCAUUAGUAAUAAAAUCUAA